CUUUCUUUCUUCUCCUCCUCCUCUCCUCUCCUCCAUUCGCAGCGCCGCUCCAGUCCUUCUUGACGCCGUUCCAGCCCGCCUGACGCCGCCAUCUCUGCUCCAUUGCAACUCCGGUCACUCCAUUGCUAUUUGGACACAAGUUGAGUAUGUGGAGCAGUUGUGGAAAUUAUUUUCGAGAAAAAAUGAUAUUGCAAUUGGGAACGUUGCGGAACUAGUGAAUCCCUUCGGAUACCAAGUUCUGCAGUACCCAGCAACAGUGAGCGGUGCAGUGAGCCAUAGAUGAUUGGCAUGUUGAAGAGCCAGGUAAAGGAUAUUGUCCAAAAAAAAAAAAAGCAAAUUGAAAGAGAAGAUGAAAGUAACAUCGGGUGACAAUUUUUUUAAAAGAGGGGCCAUGUUACCCUAAUUUAUAGGCUACAAUAUAAGGAGUUGGAAUAUGGUGCUGCAAAGCACUGUAUUUGCAACUGUUAUUAAUGUAGAAGUGGAACAUAUUUUUCUGGGUGGCUAUAAUAUAUGUUGAAUAAGUUCACUG